rnacentral:snRNA from 1 species
GUGCUUGCUUUGGCAGCACAUAUACUAAAAUUGGAAUGAUAUAGAGAAGAUUAGCAUGUUCCCUGUGCCAGGAUGAUUAAGUGAAGUGUUCCAUAUUUAA